CCUACGCGAGGCUGCAGUGAGGAAUAUUGGUCAAUGUGCGUAAGCCUGAACCAGCCAAGUCGCGUGAGGGAUGAAGGUUCUAUGGAUCGUAAACCUCUUUUAUAAGGGAAUAAAGUGUGGGACGUGUCCUGUUUUGUAUGUACCUUAUGAAUAAGGAUCGGCUAACUCAGUGCCAGCAGCCGCGGUAAUACGGAGGAUCAGAGCGUUAGCCGGAUUUAUUGGGUUUAAGGGGUUCGUAGGCGGCCUUUUAAGUCAGCGGGGAAAGUCUGUGGCUCAACCAUAGAAUUGCCGUUGAAACUGGGAGGCUUGAGUAUGUUUGAGGCAGGCGGAAUGCGUGGUGUAGCGGUGAAAUGCUUAGAUAUCACGCAGAACCCCGAUUGCGAAGGCAGCCUGCCAAGCCAUGACUGACGCUGAUGCACGAAAGCGUGGGGAUCAAACAGGAUUAGAUACCCGUGUAGUC
rnacentral:rRNA from 1 species